CAACCACAGGGAAAUCAAAUUAACCUGGAAUCCCCUCUAACUACUUGGGCUAAAUCCUUAUUUGCUGGAGUUGGGAAAAAGGCAAUAGAUUUGUGGGUCUCUGCACCGAUUUAAAAACAAAUAAACAGGUUUUCUUUGCUGUAUCUUCUUUAUUCCCAGCAGCUUAACCAGAAGGCUGUGAUUGCAGACUUGAAAAUCAGAUAAAAAUACGCAAAAAAAGGAGGAAUCUCUCAGAAGCUGUGAAGAGUUGAACCAAAGGCAGACUGGAUGGCAGACAUCUGCUGUGACAGACUCCAGAAUGUCAACCAGCAGGGAAGUACCGUUCCCAAAAGAUCUGCUGUCAGAGGGAGAAAAGAAUUUCCCUGUGUGCUGUUAGAGCAGCCUGGUUUGGUUUGGGAGGA